rnacentral:rRNA from 1 species
AGUGAACGCUGGCGGUAGGCCUAACACAUGCAAGUCGAACGGCAGCACAGUAAGAGCUUGCUCUUACGGGUGGCGAGUGGCGGACGGGUGAGGAAUACAUCGGAAUCUACUUUUUCGUGGGGGAUAACGUAGGGAAACUUACGCUAAUACCGCAUACGACCUACGGGUGAAAGCAGGGGAUCUUCGGACCUUGCGCGAUUGAAUGAGCCGAUGUCGGAUUAGCUAGUUGGCGGGGUAAAGGCCCACCAAGGCGACGAUCCGUAGCUGGUGUGAGAGGAUGAUCAGCCACACUGGAACUGAGACACGGUCCAGACUCCUACGGGAGGCAGCAGUGGGGAAUAUUGGACAAUGGGCGCAAGCCUGAUCCAGCCAUACCGCGUGGGUGAAGAAGGCCUUCGGGUUGUAAAGCCCUUUUGUUGGGAAAGAAAAGCAGCAGGUUAAGACCCCGCUGUUCUGACGGUACCCAAAGAAUAAGCACCGGCUAACUUCGUG